rnacentral:snRNA from 1 species
GUGCUCGCUUUGGCAGCACAUAUACUAAAAUUGGAACGAUACAGAGAAGAUUAGCAUGGCCCCUGCACAAGGAUGACAGGCAAAUUCGUGAAGCGUUCCAUAUUUUU